CUAGCUGACGAAGGAUAGUCCGACAUAAUUUCAGAAAUGUUGAGCAAUGUCGAACUGCGCAGCCAAUCGCAUCGAAGCGCUAUGACAUUUGGACCAAUCGCGUCGAAGCGCCUUAACAUUUCCAGCCAAUCAAAAAGCGCAAUUUAUAACAUUAUCUUGACAUUCGUGACAUUUGACCAAUCAGAGAGCAGGGGGAUUUCGACGGCACGUUUCCGCGUCUCACCGCUAGGUGGAGGGGUCAGCGCUUCUAGUCAGGUGUCAAUCAAGUUGCCGAACCGUGCCGAAGGUGUACGAAAGAAUGACAUCAUCCUCAGGGGGCGUGUCAGAGGUAAAAAAGGUUAAUUACUCAAGUUUGUGACCUAUGACAAGGGUCAUUGUGGCGUAGUUCGACAUAAAAAGUGGUACGAGAUUUGUCAAUGGGUGAGUGUUUGUUACCUUUGCAUUAUAGAUGUAUAAAAAUAAAAAAUAAUCGUAAUCGAACAUUAUUAGUAUCUUGGUUUAGUGUAUUUGCAUAAGAGAACAACACAUCAGGGUUCAGAACAAACAUUUACCUGGUCCCAUUCAUUUGAACGAUGUAAUGUGAUGGUUGUGUUAUGUUAUGGCUUUCAACAGUGCAAACCAGAGUGUGUAAUAAUUGUUUAUAGACAUUUAUGUAAUGUUGCAGGUAUUUUAAGAAAUGUUCCUGUCUUGUAUCUUUCUCCUCUAAAUAGAGAUACCAGUUGUAACAUUAUAUAUAAGAUAAAUGUGACUUGUGUCCUAGAAAUGAAUGAAUGAAUGAAUAAAUAUAUGAAUUUAAUGAAGUAUUUUAUGCUCUCUUAAGGGACUCACUUGUAUUGUGCAUUAUAUUUGUUAUAAUGCUUACAGAUAGAGAAAUGUCAGAUGCUGUCUCGUGGCCAAACAACCUUGCUUGGAGCCUCUACUGGACCAGCACAAAGGGUGGUGGAAGAACCUCAUGCUGCUGAAACAGCAAAGAAGGCCAUGGAGCAGAGUCAGCCUGACUCCCAGCCUCAUCCCAUGCCCCUGCCCCGGCCCCAGCCUACUGCACCUGUGGAAGCAAGAGUUGCAACACAAUUUUCAAUGGUAAGAAUUACUAUUUAACUUUUUUAAUAAUACCACUUAAGAAUGUGCUCAAUUAAAAUUCAAGAAAGUUCAGAACGUAAGAUGAAGAAAAAAAGAAAAAGCAAGAAUGCUAUGAGAUGCUGGCUGAGACCUACUAAUUGUCACCCCUCUUGUACAGUGGGGGCACCUGUUGUCUGCUGAAUGGUCAGUUUGAAUAUCUCAGAUUUGGUUUAAGUCACAUGGUCAAGGAUAAAUGUAGAAUGUAACCUGUCUGCUUUCUCUCUUGAGACUAGACUCAUGUCCCUCAUGGCAUCUCUCUCAAUACUUCUCAUGUGUUAAAGCUACAUUAUCUUUCUUUCUCAAUCUCAGGUAACAUACCACAUAGACGCUGGCUAUUAUUAACUGUACACAUAUUAACAAUUAUUCCAUCAUGCAAAUACUUUGUAGUAAUUUCAGGAGUCAAUACUGCUAAUAAAUAUGGAUGACACUUCUAUUCAGAAAGAAAUGUUUUUAAAAACCUGCAUUUACUUAAAAUAGUAAUAUUAAUUAAUUCUUCGUAAUUCUUGCUAUUAUAACACAUUCUGUCUUCUCACAUUUUUGAUUUACCAAACCAAGAUUUACUGGCUCUCACAUUGCUGCAGCAAAGCCAAAUCUUAGUGUGGUCAGGAGACCUUCUCAGGUUGAAGACCAACCCAGCGCAGCAGUGUCUUGUGCCUCUAUACCAAGCAGUACUGUCUCUGGUGUGCCAGUGUUCCAGGGUCUACAAAUGGUUCAAAGACUGUCAGCGGUCCAUAGGAUGCCACUGUUACAGCCUAUUUUGCAGAGCACCAAUUCACAACCAGCUCCACAAACCAUGCCCAAGAGACCCUACAAGGCAAACACUUGCAGGAAGUGUGGAAAAUUCAAAAUCAGUGCAACGGGACAUAGCCAGUACAGGGGCAAGGUGUAUAUACUGUCCACAGACUGAGAACAUUACAAAAGAAAAGUGGUUAGAGUAAAUCCGGAGAACCUUCUCCCAAAUAAUGUAUACACUGUAUAUUUUUAUUUAUUGUUGUGUGUAUAUAGUUGUUUAAAUAUAGUUCACUAUUGUUAAUAUUUGUGUCUAACAUUAUUUUAUUUAACUUGCUUUUUUAAUCCUAUUUAACUUUUACUUUUACCUUUUUAAUUUAUUGUUUGAAAACUUCAUUUAAUAUUCAUUACUUUUCU